rnacentral:rRNA from 1 species
UGGUGUAGCGGUGAAAUGCGCAGAUAUCAGGAGGAACACCAGUAGCGAAGGCGGUGGUCUGGGCCGGCACUGACGCUGAGGAGCGAAAGCGUGGGGAGCGAACAGGAUUAGAUACCCUGGUAGUCCACGCCGUAAACGGUGGGCACUAGGUGUGGGGCCUUUUCAACGGGUUCCGUACUGAAGCUAACGCAUUAAGUGCCCCGCCUGGGGAGUACGGCCGCAAGGCUAAAACUCAAAGGAAUUGACGGGGGCCCGCACAAGCGGCGGAGCAUGUGGCUUAAUUCGAGGCAACGCGAAGAACCUUACCUGGGUUUGACAUGUAGGGAAAAGCCGUAGAGAUACGGUGUCCUUCGGGGCCCUACACAGGUGGUGCGUGGCUGUCGUCAGCUCGUGUCGUGAGAUGUUGGGUUAAGUCCCGCAACGAGCGCAACCCUUUUCCUAUGUUGCCAGCGGUUCGGCCGGGGACUCAUAGGAGACUGCCGGGGUCAACUCGGAGGAAGGUGGGGACGAGGUCAAGUCAUCAUGCCCCUUACGUCCAGGGCUGCACACAUGCUACAAUGGCUGGUACAACGGGUCGCUAUCCCGCGAGGGGGCGCCAAUCCCUAAAGCCAGUCUCAGUUCGGAUCGCAGUCUGCAACUCGACUGCGUGAAGUCGGAGUCGCUAGUAAUCCCGGAUCAGCAACGCCGGGGUGAAUACGUUCCCGGGCCUUGUACACACCGCCCGUCACACCACGAAAGUCGGUAACACCCGAAGCCGGUGGCCCAACCUUUUAGGAGGGAGCCGUCGAAGGUGGGAUCGGUGAUUGGGGUGAAGUCGUAACAAGGUACCAAUCCCGCGG